GACGAACGCUGGCGGCGUGCUUAACACAUGCAAGUCGAACGGAAAGGCCCUGCUUUUGUGGGGUGCUCGAGUGGCGAAAGGGUGAGUAACACGUGAGUAACCUGCCCUUGACUUUGGGAUAACUUCAGGAAACUGGGGCUAAUACCGGAUAGGAGCUCCUGCUGCAUGGUGGGGGUUGGAAAGUUUCGGCGGUUGGGGAUGGACUCGCGGCUUAUCAGCUUGUUGGCGGGGUAGUGGCUUACCAAGGCUUUGACGGGUCGCCGGCCUGAGAGGGUGACCGGCCCCAUUGGGACUGAGAUACGGCCCAGACUCCUACGGGAGGCAGCAGUGGGGAAUAGUGCACAAUGGGCGGAAGCCUGAUGCAGCAACGCCGCGUGCGGGAUGACGGCCUUCGGGUUGUAAACCGCUUUCGCCUGUGACGAGGCGUGAGUGACGGUAAUGGGUAAAGAAGCACCGGCUAACUACGUG
rnacentral:rRNA from 1 species